CUGGCGGCGUGCCUAAUACAUGCAAGUCGAACGCACAGCGAAAGGUGCUUGCACCUUUCAAGUGAGUGGCGAACGGGUGAGUAACACGUGGACAACCUGCCUCAAGGCUGGGGAUAACAUUUGGAAACAGAUGCUAAUACCGAAUAAAACUUAGUGUCGCAUGACACAAAGUUAAAAGGCGCUUCGGCGUCACCUAGAGAUGGAUCCGCGGUGCAUUAGUUAGUUGGUGGGGUAAAGGCCUACCAAGACAAUGAUGCAUAGCCGAGUUGAGAGACUGAUCGGCCACAUUGGGACUGAGACACGGCCCAAACUCCUACGGGAGGCUGCAGUAGGGAAUCUUCCACAAUGGGCGAAAGCCUGAUGGAGCAACGCCGCGUGUGUGAUGAAGGCUUUCGGGUCGUAAAGCACUGUUGUAUGGGAAGAACAGCUAGAAUAGGAAAUGAUUUUAGUUUGACGGUACCAUACCAGAAAGGGACGGCUAAAUACGUGCCAGCAGCCGCGGUAAUACGUAUGUCCCGAGCGUUAUCCGGAUUUAUUGGGCGUAAAGCGAGCGCAGACGGUUUAUUAAGUCUGAUGUGAAAGCCCGGAGCUCAACUCCGGAAUGGCAUUGGAAACUGGUUGACUUGAGUGCAGUAGAGGUAAGUGGAACUCCAUGUGUAGCGGUGGAAUGCGUAGAUAUAUGGAAGAACACCAGUGGCGAAGGCGGCUUACUGGACUGCAACUGACGUUGAGGCUCGAAAGUGUGGGUAGCAAACAGGAUUAGAUACCCUGGUAGUCCACACCGUAAACGAUGAACACUAGGUGUUAGGAGGUUUCCGCCUCUUAGUGCCGAAGCUAACGCAUUAAGUGUUCCGCCUGGGGAGUACGACCGCAAGGUUGAAACUCAAAGGAAUUGACGGGGACCCGCACAAGCGGUGGAGCAUGUGGUUUAAUUCGAAGCAACGCGAAGAACCUUACCAGGUCUUGACAUCCUUUGAAGCUUUUAGAGAUAGAAGUGUUCUCUUCGGAGACAAAGUGACAGGUGGUGCAUGGUCGUCGUCAGCUCGUGUCGUGAGAUGUUGGGUUAAGUCCCGCAACGAGCGCAACCCUUAUUGUUAGUUGCCAGCAUUCAGAUGGGCACUCUAGCGAGACUGCCGGUGACAAACCGGAGGAAGGCGGGGACGACGUCAGAUCAUCAUGCCCCUUAUGACCUGGGCUACACACGUGCUACAAUGGCGUAUACAACGAGUUGCCAACCCGCGAGGGUGAGCUAAUCUCUUAAAGUACGUCUCAGUUCGGAUUGUAGUCUGCAACUCGACUACAUGAAGUCGGAAUCGCUAGUAAUCGCGGAUCAGCACGCCGCGGUGAAUACGUUCCCGGGUCUUGUACACACCGCCCGUCACACCAUGGGAGUUUGUAAUGCCCAAAGCCGGUGGCCUAACCUUCUAGGAAGGAGCCGUCUAAGGCAGGACAGAGAC
rnacentral:rRNA from 1 species